GGGAACUUGUGGUUCCUGGAGUCUCCAAGAGUAGAAUGGGAACCAGAGCCUUUAGUUAUCAAGCUCCUCUACUGUGGAACUAUCUCCCGGUUUAGGGCCAGGAGGCUGACACCUUCUCUACAUUUAAACAGCACUGGUUAAAGUCACAAAUGACCUCCUCAUGGCAUCGGACCGCGGGCUUGUCUCCAUACUCGUUUUACUGGAUCUCAGUGUUGCUUUCGACACAGUAGACUACAACAUUUUAUUGCACAGAUUAGAACAUGAGACUAGGAUCACAGGGGCUGCGCUACGCUGGUUCAAAUCAUAUUUAUCAGAUAGAUUUCACUUUGUUCACGUUAAUGAUGUUUCCUCUUCA